rnacentral:rRNA from 1 species
UGAGGAAUAUUGGUCAAUGGGCGAGAGGCUGAACCAGCCAAGUAGCGUGCAGGAUGACGGCCCUAUGGGUUGUAAACUGCUUUUAUAUGGGGAUAAAGUGGGGAACGUGGUCCCUUUUGCAGGUACCAUAUGAAUAAGGACCGGCUAAUUCCGUGCAAGCAGCCGCGGUAAUACGGAAGGUUCGGGCGUUAUCCGGAUUUAUUGGGUUUAAAGGGAGCGUAGGCCGUUUGGUAAGCGUGUUGUUAAAUGUAGGAGCUCAACUUCUAGAUUGCAGCGCGAACUGUCAGACUUGAGUGCGCACAACGUAGGCGGAAUUCAUGGUGUAGCGGUGAAAUGCUUAGAUAUCAUGAAGAACUCCGAUUGCGAAGGCAGCUUACGGGAGCGCAACUGACGCUGAAGCUCGAAGGUGCGGGUAUCGAACAGG